rnacentral:rRNA from 1 species
GACAGAGGGGGCAAGCGUUGCUCGGAAUCACUGGGCGUAAAGGGCGCGUAGGCGGGAUGGCAAGUCGGUCGUGAAAUCCUUCGGCUCAACCGAAGAACGUCGGCCGAUACUGCCGUUCUUGAGGGAUGCAGAGGAGAUUGGAAUUCCCGGUGUAGCGGUGAAAUGUGUAGAGAUCGGGAAGAACACCGGUGGCGAAAGCGCCUUGCUGGGUCUGCACUGACACUGAGGGACGAAAGCUAGGGGAGCGAAAGGG